rnacentral:lncRNA from 1 species
UCAUCUACCUUUGGUGCCAUCUAUGAAUUGAAACACCCAAUGCCUGAUGAUAAAAGUUCAGUUAAUGACAGCCCACGUUAUGUUAUUGCUUUUCGAGGUACAUUAACCAAGGGUGAUGCAUUCUCCCGGGACCUCCAAUUGAAUGUCCACUUAGUCCGGAAUGACCUUCACCAGACGUCUCGAUUUGAAAUAGCCAUUCAAGCUGUUCGGAGCAUUGUUGCAACAUAUGGAAGUUCAAAUAUUUGGCUAGCUGGACACUCUCUGGGAUCUGCCUUGGCAUUGCUUGUUGGAAAGAGUAUGGCAAAAACAGGAGUCUUACUUGAAGCUUUUCUGUUUAAUCCACCAUUUGUUUCAGCUCCAAUUGAGAGAAUAAAGGACAAAAAAGUCAAACAUGGGCUUCGAAUUGCAAGUAGUGUCGUAACCGCUGGACUUGCUUUUGCUAUGAAAAAUAGCCACCGGAAGAAUCAAACAGGAGAUACAUUUGUUGCAUUGUCAGAAUGGAUGCCAUGCCUAUUUGUUAAUCCAGCGGAUCACGUAUGCUCCGAGUAUAUUGGGUAUUUUGAACACAGGAAAAACAUGGACGAGAUUGGUGUUGGACUAAUUGAGAAAUUGGCAACCCAGCACUCGCUUGGGGGUCUUGUUAUGACCGCAAUGGGCAAGGAGGCAGGAGAGCCCCUAUACCUUAUUCCUUCUGCAAAAUUAACGGUUAAUUUAUCUCCCUCACAAGAAUUCAAAGAAGCCCACGGAAUACACCAAUGGUGGAGGUCUGAUCUGCUCUUAGAAUUGAAAACUUACAAGUACUGAUGGUUGUUAUGUUGUACAGGUAUUGACAAUUUAUUAUAGAAUUAUGCUGUACAGGAAUUGUCACAUAAUUCCUGAU